rnacentral:rRNA from 1 species
AGGGGUUUGAUUUAUUAGAUAAAGAACCAAUAUUUUUGGUGACUCAUAAUAACUUUACGGAUCACAAUACGUGACAUAUCAUUCAAGUUUCUGACCUAUCAGCUUUAGACGGUAGGGUAUUGGCCUACCGUGGCUAUGACGGGUAACGGGGAAUUAGGGUUCGAUUCCGGAGAGGGAGCCUGAGAAACGGCUACCACAUCUAAGGAAGGCAGCAGGCGCGCAAAUUACCCAAUCCUAAUACAGGGAGGUAGUGACAAGAAAUAACAAUACAGAACUUUACGGUUUUGUAAUUGGAAUGAGUUAAGUAUAAACCCCUUAACAAGUAUCAAUUGGAGGGCAAGUCUGGUGCCAGCAGCCGCGGUAAUUCCAGCUCCAAUAGCGUAUAUUAAAGUUGUUGCAGUUAAAAAGCUCGUAGUUGGAUUUCUGCUAAUUUUUGCAUACAAUACUACGGUAUUUAUGUAAAAUUAGCAUAAUCCGCAUUACCUCGCGUAUGCGGAAUUUUACUUUGAGAAAAUUAGAGUGCUUAAAGCAGGCAAUUGCCUUGAAUACUCCAGCAUGGAAUAAUAUUAAGGAUUUUUAUCCUUUUUAUUGGUUCUAGGAUAAAAAUAAUGAUUAAUAGGGACAGUUGGGGGCAUUUGUAUUUAACAGUCAGAGGUGAAAUUCUUAGAUUUGUUAAAGACAAACUACUGCGAAAGCAUUUGCCAAGGAUGUUUUCAUUAAUCAAGAACGAAAGUUAGGGGAUCGAAGACGAUCAGAUACCGUCGUAGUCUUAACCAUAAACUAUGCCGACUAGAGAUUGGAGGUUGUUCUUUUACUCCUUA